AUCCUUCUCAGUCCAUCAGUGUCAUGAGUGAAUUUUCACACACAUGUGUCAAAAGUGCCUCCCUCAAACUGUUACAUCGGUGGCAUAUUACCGGACGUGAAA
rfam:Chlorocebus sabaeus isolate 1994-021 chromosome 16, whole genome shotgun sequence.